AAAUAAUAAUCAGUAGCCUUGAUAUUGAACAAAACUGGAAGUGACAAUUGGCAAUUUUUAACGGCUUUCAUGAAUUCCAAAUAAUGUCUUGCCAAAAUCGAAGCCGAACCUGCCACGACCAGGGACAACAAAAUAUUCAGUAUCGUUGGGAUCGAUAUAUUCUAGGAUCGGCUCUAAAAUCGAACAAUUUGUCUUAUCUUUCCAAAAUCGGAUGUUCUUCGUAAUUGUUAUUUAA
rnacentral:sRNA from 1 species